GAAAUGCGAUAAGUAAUGUGAAUUGCAGAAUUCAGUGAAUCAUCGAAUCUUUGAACGCACCUUGCGCUCCCUGGUAUUCCGGGGAGCAUGCCUGUUUGAGUGUCAUGGUAUCCUCAACCUUCAUAACUUUUUGUUAUCGAAGGCUUGGACUUGGAGGUUGUGCUGGCUUUUAGUCGAGUCGGCUCCUCUUAAAUGUAUUAGCGUGAGUGUAACGGAUCGCUUCGGUGUGAUAAUUAUCUGCGCCGUGGUCGUGAAGUAACAUAAGCUUGCGCUUCUAACCGUCCUUCAGUUGGACAACUUACUUUGACAUCUGACCUCAAAUCAGGUAGGACUACCCGCUGAACUUAAGC
rnacentral:misc_RNA from 1 species